CCUACGGGAGGCAGCAGUGAGGAAUAUUGGUCAAUGGUCGGGAGACUGAACCAGCCAAGCCGCGUGAGGGAUGAAGGUACAGAGUAUCGUAAACCUCUUUUGUCAGGGAACAAAGGCGGGGACGUGUCCCCGGAUGAGUGUACCUGAAGAAAAAGCAUCGGCUAACUCCGUGCCGGAGGCGGCGGUAAUACGGAGGAUGCGAGCGUUAUCGGGAUUUAUUGGGUUUAAAGGGUGCGCAGGCGGUCUGUUAGGUCAGCGGUAAAAGCCCGGGGCUCACCCCCGGCCCGCCGUUGAAACUGGCAGUCUCGAGUUGGAGAGAAGUAUGCGGAAUGCGCGGUGUAGCGGUGAAAUGCAUAGAUAUCGCGCAGAACUCCGAUUGCGAAGGCAGCAUGCCGGCUCCACACUGACGCUGAGGCACGAAAGCGUGGGUAUCGAACAGGAUUAGAUACCCGAGUAGUC
rnacentral:rRNA from 1 species